UACGUAGGGUGCAAGCGUUAGUCGGAAUUACUGGGCGUAAGCGUGCGCAGGCGGUUAUGCAAGACAGAUGUGAAACCCCCGGGCUUAACCUGGGAACUGCAUUUGUGACUGCAUAGCUAGAGUACGGUAGAGGGGGAUGGAAUUCCGCGUGUAGCAGUGAAAUACGUAGAUAUGCGGAGGAACACCGAUGGCGAAGGCAAUCCCCUGGACCUGUACUGACGCUCAUGCACGAAAGCGUGGGGAGCAAACAGG
rnacentral:rRNA from 1 species